UACGUAGGGUGCAAGCGUUGUCCGGAAUUAUUGGGCGUAAAGAGCUCGUAGGCGGUUUGUCGCGUCUGCUGUGAAAACUCGGGGCUUAACUCCGGGCCUGCAGUGGGUACGGGCAGACUAGAGUGCGGUAGGGGGAGACUGGAAUUCCUGGUGUAGCGGUGAAAUGCGCAGAUAUCAGGAGGAACACCGGUGGCGAAGGCGGGGUCUCUGGGGCCGUAACUGACGCUGAGGCGCGAAAAGCGUGGGGGAGCAAAACAGG
rnacentral:rRNA from 1 species